rnacentral:pre_miRNA from 1 species
AGGAGCAACAGCCCCAGUGGUGGGGCCAGCUCUGGAAACCUGGAUUCAGCUCCGGCAGGAACUCCGUCUGCAGGGCCUGGAGGCUCCGGGGCGGG